UCCAAGUGGGCCAUUUUUGG
rnacentral:snRNA from 1 species